AGCUAAUAUAUUUUGUACCUUACGUGGAAGGUUAUCAUUAGACUCUAAUUGUUUGUGCUCCUUUUGAUAACAAAUUUUACUAGUUCGAUUCACUCUAUGGAAGUCUAUCCGAAGAAACCAAAGAUGUCAUCGACACGGCUUUUUAUGAUUUCAAUGUUGUGGUGAUUAAACAGAAUAGACAACUACCAAUAUGGAUUCUCCCA